AAGUAUAUAGCUCAGUUGGUAGAGCACCGGACUUUUAAUCCGAGGGUCUUGGGUUCAAAUCCCAAUAUACUUA
rnacentral:tRNA from 1 species